UCCAGACUCCUACGGGAGGCAGCAGUGGGGGAUAUUGCACAAUGGGGGGAACCCUGAUGCAGCGACGCCGCGUGGGUGAAGGGACGUUUCGGCGCGUAAAGCCCUAUCGGCAGGGAAGAAGGAGGACGGUACCUGACUAAGAAGCCCCGGCUAACUACGUGCCAGCAGCCGCGGUAAUACGUAGGGGGCAGGCGUUAUCCGGAUUUACUGGGUGUAAAGGGGGCGCAGACGGCAGCGCAAGCCAGGAGUGAAAGCCCGGGGCCCAACCCCGGGACUGCUCUUGGAACUGCGCGGCUGGAGUGCAAGAGGGGCAGGCGGAAUUCCUGGUGUAGCGGCGAAAUGCGUAGAUAUCAGGAGGAACACCGGUGGCGAAGGCGGCCUGCUGGACUGCGACUGACGUUGAGGCCCGAAAGCGUGGGGAGCAAACAGGAUUAGAUACCCUAGUA
rnacentral:rRNA from 1 species